rnacentral:rRNA from 1 species
UAACCCGCCACGCUUAGCGCGUGGGGAGACAGUGUCAGGUGGGCAGUUUGACUGGGGCGGUCGCCUCCUAAAGAGGAACGGAGGCGCCCAAAGGUUCCCUCAGAAUGGAUGGAAAUCAUUCGCAGAGGGUAAAGGCACAAGGGAGCUUGACUGCGAGACUGACAAGUCGAGCAGGGACGAAAGUCGGGCUUAGUGAUCCGGUG